rnacentral:rRNA from 1 species
UGCCAGACUCCUACGGGAGGCAGCAGUGGGGAAUAUUGCGCAAUGGGCGAAAGCCUGACGCAGCGACGCCGCGUGAGGGAUGAAGGUCUUCGGAUCGUAAACCUCUGUCAGCAGGGAAGAACGGUCACUGUGCUAAUCAGCAGUGAAUUGACGGUACCUGCAAAGGAAGCACCGGCUAACUACGUGCCAGCAGCCGCGGUAAUACGUAGGGGGCAAGCGUUAUCCGGAUUUACUGGGUGUAAAGGGAGCGUAGACGGUUAUGCAAGUCUGAAGUGAAAGCCCAAGGCUCAACCAUGGGACUGCUUUGGAAACUGUAAAACUGGAGUGCAGGAGAGGUAAGCGGAAUUCCUAGUGUAGCGGUGAAAUGCGUAGAUAUUAGGAGGAACACCAGUGGCGAAGGCGGCUUACUGGACUGUAACUGACGUUGAGGCUCGAAGGCGUGGGGAGCAAACAGGAUUAGAUACCCCCGUAA